rnacentral:rRNA from 1 species
GAUGAACGCUGGCGGCGUGCUUAACACAUGCAAGUCGAACGAUGAAGCCCAGCCUGCUGGGCGGAUUAGUGGCGAACGGGUGAGUAACACGUGAGUAACCUGCCCUUGACUCUGGGAUAAGCCCGGGAAACUGGGUCUAAUACCGGAUAGGAGCGCCUGUCGCAUGACGGGUGCUGGAAAGAUUUUUCGGUCAUGGAUGGACUCGCGGCCUAUCAGCUUGUUGGUGAGGUAACGGCUCACCAAGGCGACGACGGGUAGCCGGCCUGAGAGGGUGACCGGCCACACUGGGACUGAGACACGGCCCAGACUCCUACGGGAGGCAGCAGUGGGGAAUAUUGCACAAUGGGCGGAAGCCUGAUGCAGCGACGCCGCGUGAGGGAUGACGGCCUUCGGGUUGUAAACCUCUUUUCAGUAAGGGAAAGA